ensembl:lncRNA
UACUUUUCCCCCAAAAAUAAUAACAACCAUGACUGAGAUAAGUUUGCCCUUUCAAGUGUAUAUAUAGCAUUUGACACAGCCUUCAGUUAGUAAAUAGCGCGUAUUGGAAUAUAAGCAUAUCCGAGAAAAUCCGAGACUGAGGGUGGGCCCGCUGAGCGAUUCUACUUGGAGAGAGGGGGCCCGUUGAGUGACGCGUGUAUAUCCUUGGGCCCGGCUACGGGCCCCGACACCUCACAGGCCCAGGUGCAUCCGCACCUUCUGCACCCCCUAUAGUUACGCCCCUGUGUGUGUUGCAGUGUGCCGCUUGUAGACUGACUGAAGUCAGCCUUGUUUGUUUGUUUUGUUAUAUUUCUUGAAAUUCUCUUGACAUCCUAACAGAAAUGAAUAAAUCAAAUGCUCUGGCAAUAAAAAGAAGAAAAAAACGUCAUAUGUGGCAGUUGCAGGGCUGUAAAAAGCCUGUCCAAUCAUUUCAUUCAUGUCGAAUGAAACGACUGGAUGGCCUACCUACCUGUCUACCUACCUACCUGCGUGCACUCUGCCGUGCACUCAUUGCAUGUGACCGAAGUCUUCCAUAAGGCAUAAUACUAAAACAAGAAGUGAAACAAGUGAAGCCGAGAAAAAUACAGUUCCACUUCUGCCUUCUGUACUGCUAAGCAAAGCAAGAAAAGAAAGACAGAAGUACAAGGGCUGUGUUCUGAGAGUCCUCCAUAGUUAACAAACACAAACUUUGUGACACAAGCUUAGAAGCACAGUCCGAUACGUGGGUUAUGGGAGUUGUGUGGGCAAAGCCUCCUAACAUGCCUCCUCUCAGCCUGGCUGACAGUCCACCGACCACUCAGUCUCAGAGGUUCGUGGGCAGCAUAGGACAUAAGAAAGAAAGGGUUCAGAUGCCAACUCUGUUCAGUAAAAGCACCCGCCACAGGGACAGGAAUCUAGGCAGCUGUUGGUUUGUAAUUAGCAUAAAGAGCUAUAACCUUAUGGUUUGUAGUUAGUGGUGAGGUAGUUAGCAUAAAGAGCUAUAACCUUAUGGUUUGUAGUUAGUGGUGAGGUAGUUAGCAUAAAGAGCUAUAACCUUAUGGUUUGUAGUUAGUGGUGUGGUAGUUAGCAUGAAGAGCUAUAACCUUAUGGUUUGUAGUUAGUGGUGUGGUAGUUAGCAUAAAGAGCUAUAACCUUAUGGUUUGUAGUUAGUGGUGAGGUAUGGUUUGUAGUUAGUGGUGUGGUAGUUAGCAUAAAGAGCUAUAACCUUAUGUUAGACUAUGUUGGCUUUGAAUGGGAUGUUUUACAAAUGUGGUGCUGCAGCUUAUUUGUGUGUUUUUGUAGUUGUGUAAUAUAAUAUAAUAUCUAUUAUCAGGUUAGUGCAAGGGUGCCCAAUGCGUCGAUCGCGAUCGACCAGUCGAUCGCAAAGCUUAUGGUGGUAGAUCGUGUCAUUUAAAAAAAAAAUUUUUUUAUAUAAAUCACCAGAUCACAACGGAAGUCUUUUAAGGUUACCUUUCUUAUAGAACAGAUAUAGCUUUUUCGUGUAUUAAACAAAAUAAAAAGCCUUAUGUUAUUUAGCUGUGAAUAAUGAAGGAAGCAAUAUAUCCGAUUAUUAUCCAAACCCUUGAGAGCUGUUGCCAUGGAGAUUUAACGUUACUUUCUGUUUGAAGAUAAGGUAGCAGCGAGUGUUGAAGAAUGGAUGACUUUAAAUAAUAUAUGAAAUUGAACAACAUCAACAACUUUACGGAUAAAAUAAAUAAACAAGGAUAGCAAAACAGAUUGAUACGCAUAGAAUGAGAACGGCAGAAACGCAGACAGGACGUCAGAUGACGAGACAGAUCACAGUGACACAGGCUGUUUUUUUCCCCUCAUAUGUGAAGGCUGAGACAUUCAUAACAUUUUAAUCAGUCUUACUGAUGGUCCUUCUGUAAUGCCAACAGGUGCACUGUGUUGUGGAUAAGUUUUGUAGUCCUGGUAAUCUUUUGUUUAGCAUAUUGGCAAGGUUAUUUAUUUUUGUUCUUGAUGAAUGAAUGUUUGUUUAUUAAUAAGUUAUUUUUCAACAAAUAACUCAAUUAUGAUUACAAAGAGGAACAAACACCUAAAAACACAGCAACUUUCAUCUGAACUUUUUGGAAAAGCUCCCUCGAAAUCAAGAAUUUUAGGCCGCAACUAUCUCAAAUAAUGUCACCAAUAUCACCA